rnacentral:rRNA from 1 species
UACAGAGGUCUCAAGCGUUGUUCGGAUUCAUUGGGCGUAAAGAGCGUGUAGGCGGCCAUACAGGUCAGCUGUGAAAACUCGAGGCUCAACCUCGAGACGUCGGUUGAAACCGUAUGGCUAGAGUCCGGAAGAGGAGAGUGGAAUUCCCGGUGUAGUGGUGAAAUGCGUAGAGAUCAGGCAGAACACCUGGGGCGAAGGCGGCCGGCUGGGCCGACCCUGACGCUGAGGCGCGAAGGACGUGGGGAGCGAACGGG